rnacentral:rRNA from 1 species
UACAGGGGGUGCAAACGUUGCUCGGAAUCAUUGGGCGUAAAGCGCACGUAGGCGGUUCGUUAUGUCGGAUGUGAAAGCCCUUGGCUUAACCGAGGAAGUGCAUCCGAAACUGGCGAGCUAGAGUACGAAAGAGGAUCGCGGAAUUCCCGGUGUAGAGGUGAAAUUCGUAGAUAUCGGGAGGAACACCGGUGGCGAAGGCGGCGAAUCUGGGUCGAUACUGACGCUGAGGUGCGGAAAAGCGUGGG